ensembl:lncRNA
UACAAUGGUGACUCAAGGACCAGUUGACUCAACAGAAAUUCAAAUUUUCAUUCACUUGACAUAGCCUGUCAUUUGCAGGCAAUUAGGAAAAAUGGCUGACAAUUUUUGUUACAUUUUGAGAAAGGACAAAGAAAUGACUUAAAAUAACUUAUAAACUCAUAAAAAUAAUAAUUAAACAAUAAUAACUGGAAGGUCAUAGAACAAGAUUCUUAUUUUUUAAUUCCUCCACUCCUCUGUUGCCACUGCAUAACAGAAUUUCUUAACUUUGAGCUUGACAGAGUUGGGCUGCUGCAGAAACCAACUCAGGCUGAGAUGAACUAAGUCCCACUGCAGAGGGAAACUGGAGCCGAGAUUUCCAUCUCCAAAUGCUUAAUGCCUGAGCAGAGAAGCCUCUGGGCCAUUAUGACAAACCACUAUCAGGUGCUUUGGGUAACUGGGCCUAUUUGUUGGAACUCUGGUUUCUUAGUAGAAAGCCAGAUUGUGGUUCUUACAGCGCAGACCUGCUUGUUGGAACUGGCAUUGCUUCCCCACCUUCUUCACAUCAUAGAACGCAUAGAAAAUAUUGUUUUUAGGGCACCUGCAGGAAACACAAGAGGCAGCUUCUGGGCAGAAUCCACCAUCCUGAAGGCUCUUUUGGCCCAGGUCUCAGCCCGCACCCUUCCUCUCAAAGGGCUGAAGGUAUCAUAUCUGAGCACACAGCUGUUAUUACAUUGAUACUGCCUGGCGGAUCAAGGAAAUGAAGCUUUGUUCUAGCGUGUAUUACAGGAAGUCAUUCUUACCCAAAUGGAUAUUGCUAGCAAUGGACUCCUUAGGAAAAACUUCCCUGGAGGAGUGGCCUUAGAGCCACAGACCAGAGGCUCUCCUGGGCUUUUGACAGCGAACGAGAUGAAGGAACAGCCAAAGGCAAAAAGCCUCCCUCGUGGAAAACGGAACAAUUCUGGGAGAAGACACUGCCUGAGGGAUUUUACAAUCCUUUGUGAGUAAUAAAAGACUGGAAUGUGGAACAAUAAGUGAUAAAAAUAUGGCCACAAUCAAAGGCAUCUGGUCAAAGAAACACCCGUGCUCUCCGGAGGGGCUGAGCUUGAAGAGUAAGGGCAGAAAGUGGCGGGUAUAUGAAUACAAGACAGAUACUGGGUGGUGGCUAAGAGCGUGGGCUGUCUCCUGGCUUUGCCACUGCCUGGCCCCAGGGACUUUGGGCAAGUCACUCCACUGUUUGUGCCUCGGGGUGACCAUGUCUGAAGGGUGGAUAUAGUAGUCCUUGCCUUGUAGUUUUCUGGGGAUCAAGUGGGAUGAUGUAAGUGCCUGACCCAUAGUGAGUGCACAAUACAUAUUAACUAUUCUCAUUAUUAUUAUAUUAAGAUUGGAGUGGAGCUAAUCUGGGAAGCAUCCUAAAGUUAAAACUCUAAGUCUCAGAAGACUUCUAAAUAAACUAGCUGAAAAAAAUGUCAGGUUUGUGGAAAAGAUUCAGGAAAACACUCUUUAAAAAAAUGCCUUAGUUACAACCCACAUGCACCUGCUGGCAGGUGGAGGCAGCAGACGCUUAGUUAGAAUUUCUCAAGAGCAUGCUGAGUUGUACUUCCUCCUGUCUUCUCCCACACGAUUUAAACUUGGAAUCAUGUUCAGAGGGCAGUUAACCAGGGCUGAGUAUGCUGCACUGUCUAGGGUCAUGAAAUGGAGCCAAGCCAACUGGCCUUCUUCGGAACAGUGCAUUUGGACUCCGGCCACUGAGCCAGCCAGCUAAUGACUUGCCAACACAAACAAGCUUCAACAUUCACCGUCAUCUCAGAGAUCUGGUGAGCUUUAGAGGGCCUCAGUUCUCUGAUAGUGCUUGGUAAUCUAUAAAGUGCUUUUAAUUGAGAAGUAUUAUCAGUGUUCCGUUAAGCUCUUUGCCCAGGUCUCUGUCUCUGAAGAAUGUGACAAGAAACAAAUGCA